AUCCAGCUGACGAGUCCCAAAUAGGAAAAAACGCGCUUCUUGGAU
rnacentral:hammerhead_ribozyme from 1 species